ACAUUGUAAUCUUUUUAGAAGAAGAGUAGUAUUCCAAACUCUUUUAGGAUGAGCUUUAUAGAUCUAUUUUCUAAUAUAUCCACCUGCUGUCAUUGACAUAGGCUAGACAUUCUUGGAUCUUGAAAUAACCAAGAUUCAGUUCUCACCAUGCCAUAUCUCAUACGGUGUGGUAGAACAGGUUUAGAAAAAAUUUAAUUUCAUAAAAUUAAAGCAAGUCCUUAAAGAAAUAAAUUAGUGAAGUUCAUCAU
rnacentral:lncRNA from 1 species